AACAGUCACAGACUGUAACAGUUUAGAUUUGCAAAACAGGUUUUAUACCAAAAUGAGGAUAAUCUGCCUUUUAAACCAACCACCUCCCAGGUUUGAGGUACAAUACAUUUCUUGGCAAAUCUAUUCAGAAUAGAAAUCGUCUGAGAAAAAUAUCAGUACAAAAAUUCUGAACUCCCAGCUUUGGGCUGGACAAGGGAACCCACGCAUGUGGCCUCGCUUUUACCCCAGUGCCAGAAAAGGCCAGGAGUUCAGCAGAUGGAAGUCACCUUGAAAAGGCCUGUAUGGAGAAAACUUACAGGUUUCAGUUGUCUUUUUGAUCUGUGUGAGGUUCCAAAAGGAAAAGUACCGACAGGAGAAGUGCAAACUUGUGAGCAGUGCUUCUGAAAACAACAGCGCAUCUGACUGACUUGUUAUUUGUGUUUUCUCUCUUCACAGAAUCCCGGCAGGAGGAAUAGGAGGAGGAAUGGGAGGAGGAGGAGGAAUGGGAGGAGGAAUGGGAGGCGGCAGAAUAGGUGGUGGUGGUUUCUCUGGAGGAGGAAGAGGAGGAAGUGGUAGCAUGUGUGGUGGGAUGGGAGGAGGAAUAGGAGGAGGAAGCGGAGGAAUAGGAGGGGGAAGCGGAGGAAGCUGCAUCAUUGGCGGAGGAGGAAGCGGAGGAGGAGGAAGGACCUCAGGAGGCGUCAGCAGUUCCCACUCCUACUCUUCAUCUUCCCAGUCUCAGUCAUGCAGGGGCGGUGGUGAAAGCCAAGGUUACGGAAGAAAAUCCUUUGACUAAGAACUGAGGAUUCUACAGUGCAAGACCUGUCAAAGAGAAAUCGGCCCAACACCCCAGUAUUCCUCAGGCUCCUGAGGAAGGAGAUGCUCCUACCAGCUCCUCACUGCUGCUGCUCUGCCCAAAGGGUCCGUCAGAGCCGCUCUGACAGGCCAGCUGCUGUGCGUGCCACGCGCUGCCUCUGCAUAGAAUGCUUGGUGGGCUCAAUCACUUGUACUUGAAAUGCUUGCUUUAAAGAUUCAACCAGUUUGUUAUUUGGCUGUUCCGUAUGAGAAAAACGUCUCUAAUAAAACUUCAUUUCUGUCUGAUGCA
rnacentral:lncRNA from 1 species